UUCCGAUGCAGCGGUUCAGAGGAGAUAUACGCUCGUUGUUGAUUCACGUUGAUAAUCGUUCUUACUCUGAAGAAUGAAAAGAAUCUCCUUUUGAACCCUUUUUGGUGAAUCCCACUAGUCGAAGGUGAAGCCCUCCGAAUUGCCAAUUUUUUUCUGAAAAUUGGUUGUUCCUUUUUGCGCCUUCUGUCGAUGAAAGUGAAUUAGAGGUUGGUGAAGGUUGGAGAGUUCUUGGAUAUGUCUUUGGUUCUUGCAAAAUCGUGAGUUAUUGAAGGUUCUCAGAGAAGAAGAUGCAGGGUUCGGUGGUGAAGAAGUUGCUAGAUAAUGGAGAAGAAGUUGGUUGAAGUUUUGUUUUAGGUUGGUGCGGAGAGGGUUGAAGAAGAAAAAAGGGAGAGUUUGUUAUCUUGAUUUUUUCUCCGAGGAAAAGGAAGGAGAAGAAGUCCUGUUAAUCCUGUACUUAUAGAAAUUACGGUUUGCGUUUUGGUAAUUUGCACUGCAGUUUCUAUUUGGAUGCGUCUUCAGCGUUUGUUCUGGUGCUUUCGGCGUAUGUGACGCGUUCAUUUGUUCCUCGCCUUGGCCUGUGUUUGAUGUCGUUUUUAUAUUCGCAGUUCACUGCGUUUGAUUUUGUUUUUAUAUUCGCGUUUCACUGCGUUUGUAAUUAUGAGCUACAAUGAACUUCUUUUCAGCUGGUGUACUUUUAAUCUUUCUGCAAUUCCACUGUUCAAGUCCCA